UACAGAGGUGGCAAGCGUUGUUCGGAUUUACUGGGCGUAAAGGGUGCGUAGGUGGUUACUUAUGUCGGGUGUGAAAGCCCAAGGCUCAACCUUGGAAUGGCGCUCGAAACUAAGUGACUAGAGUGCAGGAGGGGAGAGCGGAAUUCUUGGUGUAGCGGUGAAAUGCGUUGAUAUCAAGAAGAACACCGGUGGCGAAGGCGGCUCUCUGGAAUGCUACUGACACUGAGGCACGAGAGUUGGGGGAGCAAACAGG
rnacentral:rRNA from 1 species